UACGGAGGGUGCAAGCGUUAUCCGGAUUCACUGGGUUUAAAGGGAGCGUAGGUGGCUUUGUAAGUCAGUGGUGAAAUAUUGCGGCUUAACCGCAAAACUGCCAUUGAUACUGCUUAGCUUGAAUCACGUCGAGGUGGAUGGAAUAAUACAUGUAGCGGUGAAAUGCUUAGAUAUGUAUUAGAACACCGAUUGCGAAGGCAGUUCACUAGGCGUGUAUUGACACUGAGGCGCGAAAGCGUGGGGAGCAAACAGG
rnacentral:rRNA from 1 species